GAUAAGGUGACUGAAUUAUAAGUGAUAAAUUGUAAAUUUAUUUAUGGUGUUUAACCUCUUAUCA
rnacentral:tRNA from 1 species